GGUGUUUGGAAUGAAGUUUGAUCCAAGAUCCUUGUUUCUCCUUUAGUGUUUGUUUUGUCCAGAUGGGAUUAUUGCUUUUAAUCUUGAAUCUUAAUGUUUGGUUUUAUUAGUUGUUGCAUCAUGAGAGAGAUUGAAGAAGGGAGAUUUUCUUGUGAAUCAAGAUCUUCUCUCCCUCUUCUCUCUGUCUGUGUGUGCAUGUGGGAGAGUUUCUGAUGAACUUAAUUCAAGAUCCUUUUCUUUCUUCUCUUUCUCUCUGUGUAUAGAGAGAGAGAGAGAGAGAGAAGGAGCCUGAAAAAUUUGCAGUCAUGUCCCUGUCCUCCUUUUUUUCUUUCACUUGAUCUUGCAAGAAAUUAAUUAUCAUAGACUGAUCUCGGACCAGGCUUCAUUCCUCACACC
rnacentral:sRNA from 1 species